AGAGUUUGAUCAUGGCUCAGAACGAACGCUGGCGGCGUGCCUAACACAUGCAAGUCGAACGAGAAAGGGACUUCGGUCCUGAGUAAAGUGGCGCACGGGUGAGUAACACGUAGGUAACCUGCCUCUAAGUUUGGGAUAACCUGUCGAAAGACGAGCUAAUACCAAAUAAGACCACGGUCUCUUUGGAGACUGGGGUCAAAGGUAGCCUCUAUUUAUAAGCUAUCGCUAAGAGAUGGGCCUGCGUACCAUUAGCUAGUUGGUGAGGUAACGGCUCACCAAGGCAAAGAUGGUUAGCUGGUCUGAGAGGAUGAUCAGCCACACUGGAACUGAGACACGGUCCAGACUCCUACGGGAGGCAGCAGUGGGGAAUAUUGCGCAAUGGGCGAAAGCCUGACGCAGCAACGCCGCGUGAGUGAUGAAGGCCUUCGGGUCGUAAAGCUCUGUCGGAGGGAACGAAUGCUCCCGAGGUUAACAGCCUCGGAAGGUGACGGUACCCUCAAAGGAAGCACCGGCUAACUCUGUGCCAGCAGCCGCGGUAAUAC
rnacentral:rRNA from 1 species